CAGAGCUCUAUCCACUGAGCCACCGAGGUGCUCCUAUCCUGCAUAUAUCUUUUUAAACCUAUAUUUUUAGUUGUCUAAAUCUAUAUUCUGAGGUCAGGUUCUAAUGUUCUACAUUCUUGGUGCCCUUUUACCUCUCACAUUUUCUGUUCCAUAUUCUAGCAGCCCUCCAGCUCUCACACUUUAUGAUUCUACUUCCUCUGGACUAUGAACUGAUUCAGUGGAAGUAUUAGGACAACCAAGUUCAACCCUUCUCCCUUAUGAUCAAUUAGAAGGAACAGAGAGACAGCUUAUGACCACUUGGAUCUAUGUAGCAAAGGAAAUGGAUAUACUCAGAUUCAAAAGACAAGUCUUCCUGACUCCAGGCCUGAUGCUCAAUCCGUUGGGCCCCUACUUAAGUGGCCUCCAAUUGUCUCUCAAGACUUAUUUGUCCAUCACCUCCUCUCUCCAAUACUCAGUGAUCUAAU